rnacentral:rRNA from 1 species
GACGAACGCUGGCGGCGUGCCUAAUACAUGCAAGUCGAGCGAAGGGUUUCUGGUGCUUGCACCGGAAAGAUUUAGGGGCGAAGGGGAGUGAAACAUGUAAAGAACAUGCAUCAUAGACGGGGACAACCAUGGGAAAGGAGAUCAAAUAGCGUAUAAUAUCAUUCACUGCGGGUCAGAAGUUUAAAAGGUGGUUUUGCUCACAUUAAGAGAUGGCUUUGCGGUGCAUUAGCUAGUUGGUGGGGUAAAGGCCUACCAAGGCGACGAUGCAUAGCCGACCUGAGAGGGUGAUCGGCCACACUGGAACUGAGACACGGCCCAGACUCCUACGGGAGGCAGCAGUAGGGAAUCUUCCGCAAUGGGCGAAAGCCUGACGGAGCAACGCCGCGUGAGUGAAGAAGGACUUCGGUUCGUAAAGCUCUGUUGUUAGGGAAGAAUGAUUGUGUAGGAACCAGACACAAUAGUGACGGUACCUAAUCAGAAAGCCACGGCUAACUACGUG